GUCCAGGGAUGGGCACCGAAUCCACAAUGUUCCGCUUACCGGGCAGAUGCCAUGUCCACUAGGCUACCCUGGA